GUUAAUUAUAAUUUUCAAAUGUUAAACCAACCUCGCAGUCCUAGAGUAAACCCCAUUUGGUAAUUGUGUAGUAUCGUUUAAUAUCUAUAUCUAUAUUGCUGUUUUCUUGUAUAUAUUUUCAUGAGAGAGAUUGGCCUGUAGUCUUGAAAUGUCUUUGUCAUGUUUUGAUAGAGAGGUUAUGCUGACCUCUUUUCUAUUGUCUUUUUGUAUUGUCUGAAACAAUUUGUAUUUUGAGUGAGGUCAUCUUCGUCUCUCAAGACCAGCCCAGUUGCCAGCUGAAUACCACUGAAUGAACAAGUGCUGACGACAGAAAGAUGAAUAAGAUGCUGACUCUGUCCUCGAGGUACAUACAAUCCAGUGGAGACACACAGUCUUGUGCAUGAAUAAGAACAACAUGGCAAUAAUGAGCAACAGUGCCUUUGUGGGGCAAAGUCAUGUGGUGCCACUUCCAUCUGUUUUAUUAACAAACAGAACAUGGUCUCUUAAAAGAGGCUUUUCUGGAUGUGCUUUUUGUUUUUUUAAGUGCUGAAAGGUAUGUACUACAUUCCAGAAGAUAAAUAUGCCCCUAGUUUGGCUCUCCCAGAGGAAGUGUGAGCAUUCUAAGAAGAGGCACAAUGGAACCAAACGUCUCAAGACUUGUGUUCUCUUCCCUACAUGGUUGGGAGACACUGAAAUGAGAGCAGGUGUUUUUGGGAAUCCAGUCUUCAUUUUCUUCAUCAGUAAAAGAGGGUUAAAAUAUUUGCUCUAUAAAGUCCCCUCUAGCUGUCUCAUUCUGAAACCCAAGGGAAGCUUUGUCUGGAUCAUUCAUUUAUAGGCUACAUUUUUGCCUUAGUAAUAGGGAAUACUAACUUUGAACCCCAAUAAAGCAAAAUGUUAUCCCCCAAGGAGAAUUAUAGUCUUCCCAUUAGUAGAUGUAUAUUGCAAAACUUGUAC
rnacentral:lncRNA from 1 species